rnacentral:rRNA from 1 species
UACGUAGGUGGCAAGCGUUGUCCGGAGUUAUUGGGCGUAAAGGGAACGCAGGCGGUCUUUUAAGUCUGAUGUGAAAGCCUUCGGCUUAACCGGAGUAGUGCAUUGGAAACUGGAAGACUUGAGUGCAGAAGAGGAGAGUGGAACUCCAUGUGUAGCGGUGAAAUGCGUAGAUAUAUGGAAGAACACCAGUGGCGAAAGCGGCUCUCUGGUCUGUAACUGACGCUGAGGUUCGACAGCGUGGGUAGCAAACAGG